UGCGUAGGUGGCUGAGUAAGUCUGAUGUGAAAUCUCCGGGCCCAACCCGGAAAUGGCAUUAGAAACUACUCGGCUUGAGGCUUGGAGGGGGAACUGGAAUUCUCGGUGUAGCAGUGAAAUGCGUAGAGAUCGAGAGGAACACCAGUGGCGAAGGCGAGUUCCUGGACAAGUCCUGACACUGAGGCACGAAAGCUAGGGGAGCAAACA
rnacentral:rRNA from 1 species